UACGUAUGGUGCAAGCGUUGUUCGGAAUGACUGGGCGUAAAGGGCGUGUAGGUGGUUAAGCAAGUUAGGUGUGAAAAUUUCGGGCUCAACCCGAAAACUGCGCCUAAAACUACUUAUCUUGAGUUUGGGAGAGGAGAACGGAACUUCCAGUGUAGGGGUGAAAUCUGUAAAUAUUGGAAGGAACACCAGUGGCGAAGGCGGUUCUCUGGCCCACAACUGACAUUGAAACGCGAAAGCCAGGGGAG
rnacentral:rRNA from 1 species